CAGCCGCGCGGUAAUACAGAGGGUGCGAGCGUUAAUCGGAUUUACUGGGCGUAAAGCGUGCGUAGGCGGCUUCUUAAGUCGGAUGUGAAAUCCCUGAGCUUAACUUAGGAAUUGCAUUCGAUACUGGGAAGCUAGAGUAUGGGAGAGGAUGGUAGAAUUCCAGGUGUAGCGGUGAAAUGCGUAGAGAUCUGGAGGAAUACCGAUGGCGAAGGCAGCCAUCUGGCCUAAUACUGACGCUGAGGUACGAAAGCAUGGGGAGCAAACAGGAUUAGAUACCCCUGUAGUCCCUGUCUCUUAUACA
rnacentral:rRNA from 1 species